GAGGAAUAUUGGACAAUGGGUGAGAGCCUGAUCCAGCCAUCCCGCGUGAAGGACGACGGCCCUAUGGGUUGUAAACUUCUUUUGUACAGGGAUAAACCUACCCUCGUGAGGGUAGCUGAAGGUACUGUACGAAUAAGCACCGGCUAACUCCGUGCCAGCAGCCGCGGUAAUACGGAGGGUGCAAGCGUUAUCCGGAUUUAUUGGGUUUAAAGGGCCCGUAGGCGGAUCUGUAAGUCAGUGGUGAAAUCUCACAGCUUAACUGUGAAACUGCCAUUGAUACUGCAGGUCUUGAGUAAAUUUGAAGUGGCUGGAGUAAGUAGUGUAGCGGUGAAAUGCAUAGAUAUUACUUAGAACACCAAUUGCGAAGGCAGGUCACUAAGAUUUAACUGACGCUGAUGGACGAAAGCGUGGGGAGCAAAC
rnacentral:rRNA from 1 species